CCUACGGGAGGCAGCAGUGAGGAAUAUUGGUCAAUGGACGCAAGUCUGAACCAGCCAUGCCGCGUGCAGGAAGACGGCUCUAUGAGUUGUAAACUGCUUUUGUACGAGGGUAAACGCAGAUACGCGUAUCUGUCUGAAAGUAUCGUACGAAUAAGGAUCGGCUAACUCCGUGCCAGCAGCCGCGGUAAUACGGAGGGUUCAAGCGUUAUCCGGAUUUAUUGGGUUUAAAGGGUGCGUAGGCGGUCGGGUAAGUUAGAGGUGAAAUCCCGAGGCUCAACUUCGGAAUUGCAUCUGAUACUGUUCGGCUAGAGAGUAGUUGCGGUAGGCGGAAUGUAUGGUGUAGCAGUGAAAUGCUUAGAGAUCAUACAGAACACCGAUUGCGAAGGCAGCUUACCAAGCUACUUCUGACGUUGAGGCACGAAAGCGUGGGGAGCAAACAGGAUUAGAUACCCUGGUAGUC
rnacentral:rRNA from 1 species